rnacentral:lncRNA from 1 species
GUCUGGGAAGAAGCUCACAAAGUCAGCUGAAUCCUCAACCUCAUUCUCAUUCUCAUCAGGAAGCAUACAUCACAAUGAAACAUCUAUUCAAGGAGAGCUCCUAUAACUCCGGCUCAUAACAUAUAGAAACGUGAUAUACUUAAGAACAGGACAAGAGAGGACAGUAGGAGCGAAGCUGCAUUGGAAUAAAGAAAUGACAGCAGAUGUUAACUUGAACCCCCAGGAAUACAUUAAGAGAACCUGAAACUAUAGUCCACGCUUUUGGACUUACAGAUAGUGUAUUGGACUUUUCUGGCCUCACAGAGUGUUCCAGGGUGAAAUCUCUGAGAGUCCACACAAAUGCUGGAAAAAAGCUCACAAAGUCAGCUGAGUCGUCUACAGAAUUGUUACCAGGUUUACUGCUGUUCUGGACCACAAAAAAGGAUACUGAAGUUGGUCCAUGGCCUGCUGGUUGAUGGUUCCCAUGCUAUUGUACACGAAGGUGCUGCUCAGGAGGAUGGCCAAGGCAAAGAUCCAGGAGUCAUUCUCAUUGUCACCCUGCCCUCAGUGUCGAGCAGAACUAGGGUGUGUUCUGGCUUCUUGGGAUGAGGCACACACCACAUCCAGAUUCCCUUGGUGUGAGACUUCACUGUGGAGCCUAGAGAGAAGCCUGUAGAAGGAGAGGAUAAAAGGGAAAAGAAAUUACUUAGUAGGUGUUUCUGGAAAUUGAGAUAAAAGUUAACAUAAUUGAAGUUAAAAGAGAUAAAAGAAAAUACAACUGGCAUAAAUCUUAAUUACAAUCCUGGAAACAGGAAAAUUAGAUAUUUAAUACACACUGAAACAUUCAUAUUUUUCUUAAAGUUCAUUGAAAGCUUGCUGUCACUACAUGAACAUUUUAAUAAAUGUUUUAUAAGUC